CAGCGUACUAGAAUUGUCAGACAUUGAGUGAGUUGAAAGGACGCUUGCUGCAGGCAUGUUUAAGGACGCAGCGGUUCACGUAUGCGUGUUGUACCAUGUGCUCGGUUGUACAUUGGCGCAGAUUACACACCCUAAAUCGUGGCUGAUGGCUAAAAAAGCAAGGAGUGCACGAAUUGAAUGUGUAGUGGAUAAAAAUGUUAAUUUGGCAACUACACCUAUCCACUGGUACCAACAUAGAGAGGGAGACGCUUUUCGGCGUGUUUUGUAUAUACCAGCUGGGUUAGCGAAUGGGAAGAAUGACGACGGCUUUCCAAGGUUUAUAGGAUCUUUGAUUUCAAAAGACAGAAAAAGUAUUCUCACCAUAUCAAACGUGAAUACGAAUGACGCUGCAUCAUACUACUGCGCUUACUACGACGGCGCUGUCAAAAUAUUUGGGUCGGGGACAGAAUUAUUUGUUACAGAGGAGACCAAGCCGUUGAAAGCCCCGACAGUGAUCGCUUACCCACCGUCUAAGCCGCAAAAUGGAAAGACAACUUUGCUAUGUGUCGCCAUGGACAUGUUUCCCGACAUUGCCAGAUUCAAGUGGAAAGAAGGAAACAAUGACGUUGCCAGCGCGAAUCAAAAGGUUCUGGAGCAGAAAAUGGAGAGUGGUACCGCCAGUAUGUUGAUAAUCGAUGAAAUUAAUGCUGAGUCGAAACACACGUGUACGGUGGAACACGAAGGAACCACAAAGGGAAUACAGAAAGAAAUACCAGCAGGUCCCAUCAUAGAAGUAGACCCUGGAGCUAACUCAAGGGUGGAGACGGAGGUGCCAGUUUGCAAUGGUACACAACCGAAGCAGAUAGACCUACACCGGAUCUCUGAUGAAUCUUUUGGGCUCUCGAGGAGUCUGUAUCUGGCGAGCCUCACCUACACCUUGAUGAUACUGAAGAGCGUUGGGUACUUCGGUGUUGCGUGCCUCAUUAUGUUCAAGAGGUCCACCAACCGGCCCGUAAAAAGAAUCUAAUCCCUGUUUUCUGGUCUCCAUCCAUUCUUGUAGGCCUAAAAUAAUCAUUAGUUUGUCGUUUUCUAGUCUUUCCAAAUAUAUGGCUACCUGAUAUACACCUAUUGGUUUUGUUCACAUAGUUCAUGCAUCUGCUUGUUUAAAUUAUGAACCGUAACAAAACCAGCCUGUAUCUAUUGCAUGCAUAUUCAAUGUUUUGGAUGUGUCUGGUAUACGUAAACUGUAGGCUAUUCUACUGUUUCCAGAUUUAGCGUUAUUAGUGCCUGUUGCCUUCGCGAUCGUGGUCAAAGGAAACUUCGCUUGUUUAGUCUGCUGGGAUUAAUUACACAAUUAAUUAAAAGUUUAUGUAUUUUCGAAAAUGCACUUAUACUUGUUCAUGUUAAUGAUUUUCUUUCUGUUUUUAUUUUAUAACACAACAUUUAUUUACAUUUUCUAUUAUUAGGCCUAUAUGAAAAUUUCCAAUGGGAGCUUUGACAUGAAGGCCAUUAUGGAUUCCAUUAGUACAAAAAGGGUUUCAUUUUGAUUAGCCUAUUUUUUCGUCUUUUCUAAUUGACUAAUAAAAUUUAUUUGCUGCAUCCA